GGGGGAAGGAGUUGGAAGAGAGGAAGUGUUGCUGAAUCCUAAGGGAAUUUAAGAAGAUGGCAAGAAUAUCAGAAAGCAAUUCAGCGAACAAAGGAACAGCUGAAACGUUCUUGGAGCUCAGAAAACAGGAGAUGACUCAGACGUCUGGUUCUUUACACAGCAUAUGUUUAUCAACAGCCUGCUUGACCUAUGGGCACCAGAACUGGACUCAGGAUUCGAACAGCAGUCGCAAAAGGGCCAAAUCCAUAGGGAGAAUCACCUCUCAGCUCCUACUCGAGACUCCCCUGUUUAGUGGUUAAACCCCACAUGCAGCACCCUUGCACAGAAAGAUCUGUGGGCACCAGAACUGGACCCAGGAUUCCAGCAGUGGUUUGCACCAGUGCGAAAUGCGAAGAGACAAGGUGGUGAUGGACCAACUCAUCUCCCAGGUGGUCUCCGGAUUCCCCUUGAAUUCUUCCCAGAGCCGCACCUUUCUCCGGGGGAAAGAAGCUUCACACUCGAGAUGUCUCCAGAACCUGCUGUACCACCAGGACAGUGCGACAGAUAUUGCAACCCCAGGCCAUAUCUUGGGGAACCACGCUAUGAAACCUAUGACUGGUUUAGAUAUGAUUAUCUUCUGCUGCGUGGGGGAGGUUAACAGCUCCUCCAGGAACUAACAACAGUGUGGGGUGGUGAUUACCCCUAGGAUUGUUAACAGCUCCAGAGAGCCACCACCCGCUGGAGAGGCUUGUAUGGGCUGGAUCAGGCUGGAUUUUCCAGAGACUAAAGGAUUUUGCUCUACAAGGCUGAGUUUAUCCAGCCUCGUGGCCUCUUUCUGAUCCAGCAAAUGGACAGGACUUUUGGUCCAAUGGGCCCAAGUAGUCUGAGGAAGGGUUGGGAUUUUAGCCUCCCUGAUGGGGGAUUUCUGGUACGUUCAGUGUGCCUGUAAAUCCAUUUAUUGUCUCCAUGUUUUCUCUGGAGACUGUUAUCCUGAAUAAACGAGCUUGCUUUGGAGACACCAUUUGGGUCAUUGGUAAAUCACUUGCCAUGUCUAUGGAGGGUAACCACGGCACAGGUGCUGGCCUCACGGCAGACCGGCUGCUGGGGGUAUCCCAGCAAACUACAGGGGGCUGCAGCCAAAAACCUCUGGUCAGAUGGGAGUGGGACACGGGCCCCUGCCCAGAGAGAGGUGACAGCUGGAGGCCUGAGACCCGAACAGGCAUUUCUACAGCAGGCCGCGGAGCUGGUCAAAGGUGCAGUUCGCCGAGACUGUGCCAGACACGACCCAGCCCUUCAGACUUUCUCCUCGCCGCCUUCCACCCCAGAGACGCUCCAAGUGGAUUG